UAGUCUGAGCGGUUCACCAUACAGUAAU
rnacentral:sRNA from 1 species